GAUGAACGCUGACAGAAUGCUUAACACAUGCAAGUCAACUUGAAUUUGGGUUUUUAACUUAGGUUUGGGUGGCGGACGGGUGAGUAACGCGUAAAGAACUUGCCUCACAGCUAGGGACAACAUUUGUAAACGAAUGCUAAUACCUAAUAUUAUGAUAAUAGGGCAUCCUAUAAUUAUGAAAGCUAUAAGCGCUGUGAUAGAGCUUUGCGUCACAUUAGCUAGUUGGAGAGGUAACGGCUCACCAAGGCGAUGAUGGGUAGCCGGCCUGAGAGGGUGAUCGGCCACAAGGGGACUGAGACACGGACCUUACUCAUACGGGAGGCAGCAGUGGGGAAUAUUGGACAAAGGACCGAGAGUCUGAUCAAGCAAUUCUGUGUGCACGAUGAAGUUUUUAGGAAUGUAAAGUGCUUUCAGUUGGGAAGAAACAAAUGACGGUACCAACAGAAGAAGUGACGGCUAAAUACGUG
rnacentral:rRNA from 1 species